rnacentral:lncRNA from 1 species
AGUAAAUACGAUCAAGCCUAUGGUGUAAUAUUUCUCUUGCACACAUUCAUCAGAAAAACCAGGUUUGUCUUCAAAAACCUGACAUAUGCUUCUACUCAUAAAAGAAAUUUCCGAAUUAUCUUUGUGCUCCCUGGAAAAUGCUUAUAGUAGUUCCCUCAUAAUGUCAAGCGAUUCAAUGUCCACUGGACAAUCAAAGAGAUAGUCCAGCUACUCUACAGUGGAAUU